rnacentral:rRNA from 1 species
CCUACGGGAGGCAGCAGUAGGGAAUAUUGCACAAUGGGGGGAACCCUGAUGCAGCAACGCCACGUGUGGGAAGAAGCAUUUCGGUGUGUAAACCACUGUCGUGAGGGAAUAAGGCUAAUUUUCGGAUUAGUUGAAUGUACCUCGAGAGGAAGCACCGGCAAACUUCGUGCCAGCAGCCGCGGUAAUA